AUUUAGUUGUAAUUCAAAGGGGGAGAGAUAAAGGGAACAGUUCUCUCCACCAUGUUGCUGAAGUCACCAGCAUAACAGUUUAUAGUCAUUGAAGAUAUGUCAAAUAUGUCCUUGUCAAUAUAUAGAUAUAUAUGUAUAGAUAUGUAUAGAUCUCUGACAUUCUUUUUUGUGUUGCAUAGUCGUUUAUUGUAUGGAUAUGCCAUAAUUUAUUUAACUAUUCCCCUAUUGAUGAAUGCUUAGGUUGUGUCCAAUUUUUUAUUAUUAUAAAUUAUGCAGCAAUGAAAAUCAUUGUACUUGUAUCUUUGAAUAUAUGUUGUAAUGUUUCCUGAGGAUAGAUUCCCAGAAGUGGGAUUGCUGGAAAGAAGGCAGACACAUCCUUACAUUCUAAAAUGUUAAUUGAUAUUGCUCCAUUUGUCUCCACAAAGGCUGUUCCAAUUUACCUGGAAACCCAGCAGCGUAUGAGGAAAGAGUGAGCAUUUUUUAUGGAAUAUUCAUGUACAGACUUUCAGUUAAACUGUUUUCAGCACCAUGUGUCAUGCCCAUCCUCUGCUGUACCUGGUGUCUUGAAUCCUGGAGCCUUUCCGUAGUUUUUGUUUGUUUUUAUAAUGAUUUUUUUUUAAGAUUUUUUUUUCCUUUUUCUCCCCAAAGCCCCCCGGUACAUAGUUGUAUAUUCUUUGUUGUGGGUCCUUCUAGUUGUGGCAUGUGGCAUGCCACCUCAGCAUGGUUUGAUGAGCAGUGCCAUGUCCGUGCCCAGGAUUCGAACCAAUGAAACACUGGGCCGCCUGCAGCGGAGCGUGCGAACUCAACCACUCGGCCACGGGGCCAGCCCCACCUUUCCAUAGUUUUAUUGGUAAAAUGGUCCCUUCUCAUCUGUAUCCUUCUUUGUACUAGACCAAAAUUUCUUCCCAGCUACUGUUUCAGCUACCAUUUCUCAUAUGGCUUUCCUGCCUCUAGAGAACCCCAAGAACUUUUUGUCCUUAUGGGUUUGUACAUAUCUUAUAUAUUGUUUUAGUAUACUUUAAGUGGCGUCUCAGAAGGGAUUUGAAAUGCUGUAUUUGUCAUAUACUAAAUUCUCACGUGAUUGCAUUUCUAUUUAAUUCCAUUGAUCUGUCUGUUCUUGAAC
rnacentral:lncRNA from 1 species